GCCAGCCUGCUAGAUUAGUUGAUGGAGAGACAGCCAUAGAGGCCGCACUGGGGGAGAUCCUGCACCUAUCCAGAGCCUAUACGGCCCUGAGAAGAUGGACAAAAGCCCUGUUGAAGUGGAGAAUUAAUUUAUAGAAUCAUAAAAUAUCAAGAGUUGAAAGAGACCCAUAAGGAUAAUAUAAGAAUAAAAGAAGAUAUUUUAGAAGAAUAAAAAUGAAAGAAGAAUAAAAUAGAAGAGGGUUAUAUUAUGUGAAAACUUGAUUUUUCAUUUCAGAUUAUAUAAAGUGUUUAAUUGACCCCAAUAAAUCUGUUUAUUUCAUUGACAAA